UCUCCGUAGGUGAACCUGCGGAGGGAUCAUUACCGAGAGAGGGUUAGCCCCAUGGCGCCCGACCUCCCAACCCUUUGAUAUGACCAACUCUGUUUGCCUCGGGGGACGACCCGGUCGCCCCCGGCGGACACCCUUCAAACCCUGCAUCCCGUGCGUCGGAGUUUGAUUUGAAUUAUAUUAAAACUUUCAACAACGGAUCUCUUGGUUCUCGCAUCGAUGAAGAACGCAGC
rnacentral:misc_RNA from 1 species